rnacentral:rRNA from 1 species
UACAGAGGUCUCAAGCGUUGUUCGGAUUCAUUGGGCGUAAAGGGUGCGUAGGUGGCGCUGUAAGUCGGGUGUGAAAUUUCGGAGCUUAACUCCGAAACUGCACUUGAUACUGCGGUGCUUGAGGACUGGAGAGGAGAUUGGAAUUCAUGGUGUAGCAGUGAAAUGCGUAGAUAUCAUGAGGAAGACCAGUGGCGAAGGCGGAUCUCUGGACAGUUCCUGACACUGGAGG